CAAAUUUACAAAUAAUUACUAUUGGUGCAAGGUCACAAAUUUCAAAAAUUACUAAAAUUACUAUUGGUGCAAAAAAUCCAAGAAACAAGGUUAUAUAUGUAUAUAAAGUGUACAGUGCGCAAUGUAAACAUGAGUCGUACAUGUGCAAAGUCCUGCAGAGAUAGAUUGGAUCUAUUCGCAGUUGAGGGAGGGUGUGUAUUUGCGUACGCAAGGUAUGUGGAGGUAGUCUGAUGAUAUUGGCGUUGUGCAUGUGUAUGUAUGUGUGUGUGGGAGGGAUGGGGGGUAGUUGACACCUCUCAGGCUCAGAGGGUGAAUUGUGUCUGCUGUGAUGGGUGGAGAGGCAAUGGAUGGGUGUUGUUCAAAAGCCUGAUGGCCUGUGGGUAAAAACUGUUUUUCGACCUUGAAGUUCUGGCUUUAACACUCCUGUAGUGUCUGCCUGAUGGUAAGGGUGUGAAAAGUCUGUGCUGGGGAUGACUGCUUUCCUUGAUGAUGUUAAUGGCUCUCCUGAUGGUUCUGGCCUCGUAUAGACUCUCCAGUGAUGGUUCGAGCAGCUUUCACCACUCGCUGUAGUGCCUUACAAUCCUGUACUGUGCAGCUUGCAAACCACACUGUGAUAGAGCUGGUGAGGACGCUCUCAAUUGCACACCUGUAGAAGCUUCUGAGGAUUCGGCUUGGCAUGUCAAAUUUUCUCAGCCUUCUCAAGAAAUGCAGAUGUUGACACAAUUUCUUGACCAGAUGACACACACACACACACAUUUUCUGAACUGCUUGUCCCAUACAGGGUCAAAGGGAACCGGAGCCUACCCGGUAACACAGGGCAUAAGGCCAGAGGGGGAGGGGACACACUCAGGACGGGACACCAGUCCGUCGCAAGGCACCCCAAGUGGGACUCAAACCCUAGACCCACUGGAGAGCAGGACCCGGGCCAACCUACUGCGCCACUGCACCCCCGAGACCAGUCGGAGAAGACAGCUACUGCUUGAAUGCCUGGUCCUGCUGGCACUGUGGAGCACAGACAGACAAAAAUGCCUGCAGUGCCUGCAGCCUGCAGACAUGGCAUGGCGUUAAGAAGCAAGAGUUCCCUCCCCUCAUGGAUGCUGGAUGCUCAAGAACAUGUCAGUCACAAAGAAAGUCUACCUGUUCUAAAAGCUGAAGUGAUGAGACAUGUAGAGCUGAAAGACAAUAUCAUUACAAGGGUCUUCAUUACAGCUUUACUCACUGCCUAAAAGUCUUCUGUUAUUGCUGCUCAUACUUACUAAAUCAAACACAAAAACGCUUUCAAUGAAAACAUAGUAUUAACUGUACAUAUAGUGUGAAGGAAUAUAUGUUAAUAUACCACAGGCUAUAAAAACUAAAGUAACUGGGUUAAGGGUUAUUACAGCACACAACCCUCCAAUGACUGACACUACAGAGUUGUCUUAAUGUGACAACUUCCAGGUUGUCCCUGCAUUUCUUCACAUAUCUGAGGUGACUGGUUUCACAGUCGGAUAGAAGAGAUACAUGUAUAGUCAGUCCUUUUUUGAAUAAAUGAUGACUUUUUAUUUAUUAUUAUGUUCA
rnacentral:lncRNA from 1 species